UACGAAGGGUGCAAGCGUUAAUCGGAAUUACUGGGCGUAAAGGGUGCGUAGGCGGUUCGUUAAGUCUGUCGUGAAAUCCCCGGGCUCAACCUGGGAAUGGCGAUGGAUACUGGCGAGCUAGAGUGUGUCAGAGGAUGGUGGAAUUCCCGGUGUAGCGGUGAAAUGCGUAGAGAUCGGGAGGAACACCAGUGGCGAAGGCGGCUGCCUGGCCCAAAACUGACACUCAGGUACGAAAGCGUGGGGAGCAAACAGA
rnacentral:rRNA from 1 species